GGGAACCCAGGGCAGGAGCAGCAGCAGCAAUCACUCCAUGGGGACCUCGGAACUCUGAGAAAAAAGCUUCAUCACCACCCUGGCAUAGCCAUGCAGGGUGGAGGUGGCUGCAGGUGAGAGGUCCCAAAGGAGAAUAGCCUGAGGGGCAAAUAACCUGGCUUUGAGGUUGCAGCAUUUCCUGGACUCCAUCCAAGCCCCAGGGACUGGCACAGAAGAGCUACCUGGCAGAAAGUUGAACAGGGCAGGGCCAGGCAGCCUUACAACACUCUGCGUUGUCAUAGGGCUGCAGGGAGAUGAACUUUCUCUGCUGCGUCUGCUGAGUGCUGACAGGUUUCCCAAGCUACCUUUGAACUCUACUUCUCAAAUAUUGGGUUAACUCAAGAAGGUCACUCGAGUUGAUAUACUAUGGGAUGUGAAGGAAGCAUCCUCAGAUCCUUGUUUCUGUAAUCAUGAGCACCUUGAAAUCAAUAUCAAGUGGGAUUCUGAAGCAGGGCUUCCUUCCCUCCCUGCUAAGAAGCCUCCAGCGUAGGGCCCUCAGCUCUCAGCCUCUUAGAAAGAAGCAUGGAGCUGACAAGUCAAGGAGCCGACCUCCUUCCAAGUCUCCUGCUUCACAGGUGAACCAAUCUCCCAAAGUAUUUCUGGAAUCAUUGCCUUCAGUGGCUGUGAAAGGAUCAAUCCCUGAGGAGUAAGGAGAGGAGGGGAGAUGUUUCUGGAAUCUGGGGUGGGAGGUGUUUGGUUCUCCCCGCAUGGCUUGAACUGGUCACUUCUAUUCGAUCAUUCAUUUACUCAACACUUUCAAAGGGUUUAUAGCACUGGGGAGUCUUAGAGGAGUAAGGGUUCUGACCUCCAUUAGCUCACAGGUCAGCAGGUGAGAAGCUGUCUACAGAGCACACAGAACAAAGGAGGAAAGUGCUGGUACCUAGGAGCACAGGGAGGUGCCUAGGAGCACAGGAAGUGGGAGGUAGUUUUCCUGGAGGGUCCCUGACUUGAGACUCACCAAAUGUCUAGCAGCUGUCGGAGUGAAGUGGAAGCUGGGGAACAAGGUUUUCCAAGUGCAAGGAGCAACCUCAGCUAAGGAGCGAGAUUCAGUCCCUUGUCUCAACAAAGGGUGUUUCUGGCUGAGCUCCAGAAACUCUUCUUUCUCUCCAUGUCAGGGGCUUGGACUUCCUUCUCUAUAUUCAGGCCAAAGGGCUCAUUCUGAGCACAACUGAAUUCCAAACUCAGAAUUUUUUUUUUCCCCCCUAGCAGAAACAUGCGAUUCUGAAAUCCUGCCAAACACACCAAAGAGCUCUUCCCAAGAAGGCAUGAGCCGGGUAGAGACAGCUGCAGAGUGGGAGGAGAGUGGUGUUUUGAACCAGAAAACAAGAGUCGAAAGAGGCCAAUAAUUCACAAAGCACAGGCACUGCAUAAAGGUGUCUUUUCCACUUGAUGAGGAUUGUGUUUCAUAAUAUUAAAUGUCACAACCAGACAAGCAAGUAGACUUUGGAGGAAGGCACAGCUGGAUUUCAGACCUGGCUCUACCAUUUAAGAUCUUGGGCCACUUAUGGCAGAUUUCUUAUUUCCCAGUUUCUAUAUAUAAUAUAGGGCUGAGCAUAUCCUUAAAUCCACUUUGGUAACAAUUAGGUGAGAUAACAGUGAUCAACACUUAAAGCUUGGCACAGAAAGUGUUUCAGCAAAGGGUAGCUGAGCUUCAUGGUUCUCCUGAGCACUGGUUCUUGGUCUAAAGAAAAUAAUAUAAGGGCUCAGUCCUCAAGUGGGCCAGUUAAUAUGUUGCCCCUCCCUUACCCUUCUCAGAAAUGUCUGAGAUGAGCCUCAAUGCUGGGGGAGACUGUAGAGCAAGUCAAAAUAAACCCAUUACCACUUCUCAAAAAAGAGCUCCAGUGGGCAUGGUGGUGCUUGCCUGUAAUCCCAGCAACUCGGGAGCUGAGAAAGGAGGAUCCCAAGUUCAAGGCCAGCCUCAGCAACUUAAUGAGGCCCUAAGCAACUUAGUGAUACCCUGUCAUAAAAUAAGAAAAUUUAAAAAAAAGAGCUGUGGAUGUGGCUCAGUGGUAAAGCACCCUUGGGUUCAAUUCCCAGUACCCACCCACCUCCCAAAAGAAAAACCCUCCAAUCACAUGCUGACUGUGAACCAUUCUAUGACAUAAUUAAUUCCAAAAUGUGACAUCUAUUUGGGAUCAAAGUGAUACUAUCUCUUCCUUGGCAAUUUUUGCAAAGAGCAGAAACCACUAGGAUAAAGGAAACCUCAGAUGUAUCAGCAUGAGCCACUCUGCAGUGGCUACAUUUUCUGAGACUUUCUUUACUUUUGGAAUUUCCUUAUUUCCCUCUCAUCUUUACGUGUGUGUCUGGAAUAUGGGAACCUGGCUUCUAGUCAUCUAAUACUUAACAUUUCUUCUACUCCUUCCUUAAUUCCAUCACUGUUCUGGGCCAGUGUUUGAGGAACUCUCAGAACAGUCCUGGACAAGGGUUCAAGAAUCACUGCCUUUGAACCAGCAGAAAGUACUGAUUGGUAGGAUUGUAAAUCCACAGGAAACAUGCAUUGAGGUCUCACAGGGAGACUGUCUCCAUCCAGGACAGCAUGGGUCACCAUCAGGCCAGGUCUUCUCAGUGCCUCUCUGACCUCACACCUAUGUCUCUGUGUGAUCGGGGUGGAGUGUUGAGGUGUGGUCUUCCUAGGUUUGCUGUAAUCACAAACAGGGUAGCUUUGAAAAACAAACCCACUGUCUAACAGUUCUAGAGGCUAGAAGUCCAAGAUCUAGGUGUCAACAGAGUCGUGCUCUCUUUGAAGAUUCUGGGGCUGGGAGUCAGGCAAGGGCAGAGUCAGGGAAAAGCCUUCCUAUCUCGUUCCAUUUUCUGGUGGCUACUGACAACCCUUGAUGUCCCUGGGCUUGUAGAUGUGUGGCUCUAAUCUCUGUUCCCAUCUUCACAUGAACUUCUCCCUGUGUGUCCAUCUUCCUGAAUGUCCCUCCUUUAUAAGGAUGCCUCAUUGGAUUAGGAUGCCUCUGCUUCUAAUAUGAUCUCAUCUUACUGAGGCUAGAGUUAUUAAUCCAAAUAAGGUCACCUUCACAGGUGCCUGGAGUUAGGACAUCAGUGUAUCUCUUUGGGGGACACAACUCAACCCACCACAGUCAGUGUGCUCCUGAUAACUGUCUUCCAGCACUCUCCUUCUGGCUCAAAGAUAUGGUCAGAGAGCAUGAGAUCUGGGUUUCCAUGGCCCCCAGGACCAUCUCUGGGAGGUAAAGAGUAGGGCUAACUCUUUGAACUGUUUUCAUGAAAGCACAGGGAAAGGAGCUUUCCCAAAACAAACUUUUGGGGAGAGGGUCCCUCAUGGGAACUGCCUGUACUUCUGACCUGAACCUCCUGUUUCCAGGCCUGGACCAGGAAUCCCCUUCAAGUUUUUUAGUCCAGUAACCCAAUCCUUGCCCUCAGAAAUGUCUACCUUCCCCCCAAAGUGGAUGAUCCAUCUUUAGAUCAUUUCCUGCAUCUGAAAUAACCCAACAGAUGCCACAGAGCCAUCCUGAAGCACUUCAGCUGUGUGCUCUUGGCCAUUUUUCUCUCCUGUUUGCACUGAAUGGGGAGCAAUAGUGAAAGAGGCAGGUCUUCAGUCUUCAUUUCUGUGCAGAGGGAGCCGUGGCCAGUGCUCUUACCACGUCACUUUAUGUCUCUGUGACCACAACCUUCACCUUGCCCAUUUUGGAAUAAUAUACUUAGCAACAAUGGGAACAUUUUGCUUUGUUCUGCCUGUGCUGAACCUGUUUACUUUGCAAGAGAAAUCAUACUGGUUGUCAUAGUUAUGCUCUUUGCUCCCCGAGUUGAAUAGGACCAGUUUUGAUGUUAUCUUAUAUCCUUUAUAAUUAAUUAUAUUAUAUUCUGGAUCUCAGAUGGUGGGUGGUGGAGCAGGUUUGCCAAUGCAUUCCAUUACAAUGCUUUUAAAAUAAACCCUCCGAAUUAAAACCAUGUUAUUAUCUCCUUUUACUUUUAAAUAGAUUUUCAAAUGUUCAUCAAGUUAAAAAAGAAACAUAUUUAAACCCUCAUGGUCUUUCAUUUAAUGAUGUUGGGAAAGAAUCUGGAAGAAGGAGAAGUCACAGAAAUAUCUUAGGAGAUAUUUGCUCAUAUGCAAAACCCUCUGUUAGUUCCACUGUGGCCAGGUGAGGUGAAGCCUUAUCAGUUCAUACCAGGACAAGCUAUAAGAACUUGGGACUUGUUCCCCAGCCUCCAACUUCUUUCCCCUGCAGCCUGUGCUGUCUAGACAUCUCAGUCAUCGUGUGAUGUGUCCACUCAAAGUUUCUCAAUACCUCCUCACUGAUGGCAGGGUAAAUUCUAUCCUCCUCAAUCAGAUAUUCAACAUAUCCUGCCAUCAGACUCCUCCUGGCUUUCCAGAUGGGCUUAGUCAUCGUCUCAUUGUCCAGCGACAAUACCAAAAUACCUUUACUUCAUGCCUAGAGUUAUGGCUCCCUCUGAAUUCUCCCUCUUAGAAAUCAUUCCCCUUCUGGUGUCUGUCCAAAUCCAACCCAGGUCCUCUUUCUAGUGUAUAUGAAAGCACAGUCUCUGCACCUGUCUAUCUAGCUUGGUGAGCCAUAAUUUUAUGCUUCAUUUCCACUUACCAAUACGUGAACAGAGAUGAAUAUAUUUCUAGGCAAGAUGGAACCCCCUUCCUCACAUAUUCUUCUCCUUUUCAUUGGCAGCUCCACCACCCUUCAGCUGCUCGGAACCAGAGACUUUUUGGCUCCCUUUCUUUACAAACCCAGGAAGGACUUGGUAUCACUGAGACACUGUUCUCUUUGCAAUAAUCUGUGUGGAUAUUGUCUCCCACGUUGUGCACCUAUUUUCCAAACCAAUUUCCUUGAACAAGCAAGGAGGUAGGGGACACUGAUGUCUAUUGUAUACCUACCAAGCUCCUCAUGCAAGCAUCUUCAGCCAUACUGAAAUGUAUCUGCAAGCCCCUCCGGAAGUGUUUUGGUCCAAACUUUCAAAUGAGGGAACUGAAGCUCAGACAGGGUUAAUGACUUUCCCUGGGACAGUUUGAUGCCCGAUAUGGUGCCAAAGAGAGAGAGAAAAAAUGUUGUGGGAUGGAGCUCGUUAGAACAGGCUUCACAGAUGCAGUGGCUGUGAGCCAAACCUUGGCUGGGUGGGCAGGAGGCGAGGAGGGAGCACUGCGUGUGAGCAGCAUCACAAAGAUUUCAGACUCAACGCGACAAUGUGAGCAUUUAUGGCUUCCAGAGAUCGUCCCUGAUUUCCUUUAAGAAUGCAGUAUUAAAGUUAAUUGCCUGGUUUGGAACAUGCAAACACUGAAAUGUGCUAGAACGAUCAAAGUUCAGAGGUAAAUGAACUUUUAUGGCAGCAGGUUGAGAAUGGAAUAAAUGCUGAUGAGGAGCAGGGGAUUUAUAUAUUAACUGCAGGUCAAAAGAGGACUCUCACCCAAGGUAGCUGAAUCUGGCAAACACACAAUCCCAGAUGGUUUCACACAGGGGGAUAAAAAUGAAUGAGCCAAUGUAGAUUCAUCGAUGGUAACAAAUGUACCACGGCGGGGAGGGGGCGCGUGCGAACGCUCUGUACUUUCUACCCUAUUUUUCUGCAAAUCUACAACUGCUCUAAAAUAUAAGGUUGACUUUAAAUAAAUAAAUUAAAUUUUUUAAAAAAUGUUUAAACAACGAGGCCAGGUGCUGAAACUGACCACCGUGGCAUGAGAAGAGAGGAAUGUGUUACCCCCUCUUGGUGUGUUGGGGUAUACUCACCCUGCUCAGCUAAUGUGUUGCCCUUUUAUUUUUCCAGUUUGCUCAUCAAUGAAAUGCUCAUGAACACUGAAGACCUCAAGAAGUGAGACAUGGACUAGAGAAAGAAGAAAAUGAAAAGGAGGAACGGAAGGAUACUUUAGUAGACGACAUAUUGAAAAAUGAAAAGCAGGCUGCAUGUGGAAUUUGCAAAACCAUAAGGAUUAUGUGUCUAGGAAGAGUUUUAUAGAACAUUUAAUAUAUGGUUUUCCUUGGGAAUUACUCCUCUCAUUUUCUGUUCUCUCUUCUCUAAAAAUGAGAUAGUAAUACCUGCCACAUAUGGUGAUGGUAAGGAUUAGAUUACAUCAAGCAUAUAAA
rnacentral:lncRNA from 1 species